rnacentral:rRNA from 1 species
UUAAGCGACUAAGCGUACACGGUGGAUGCCCUGGCAGUCAGAGGCGAUGAAGGACGUGCUAAUCUGCGAAAAGCGUCGGUAAGGUGAUAUGAACCGUUAUAACCGGCGAUGUCCGAAUGGGGAAACCCAGUGCAAUUCGUUGCACUAUCGUUAACUGAAUACAUAGGUUAACGAGGCGAACCGGGGGAACUGAAACAUCUAAGUACCCCGAGGAAAAGAAAUCAACCGAGAUUCCCCCAGUAGCGGCGAGCGAACGGGGAGCAGCCCAGAGUCUGAAUCAGCUUGUGUGUUAGUGGAACGGUCUGGAAAGUCCGACGGUACAGGGUGAUAGUCCCGUACACCAAAAUGCACAGGCUGUGAACUCGAAGAGUAGGGCGGGACACGUGGUAUCCUGUCUGAAUAUGGGGGGACCAUCCUCCAAGGCUAAAUACUCCUGACUGACCGAUAGUGAACCAGUACCGUGAGGGAAAGGCGAAAAGAACCCCGGCGAGGGGAGUGAAAAAGAACCUGAAACCGUGUACGUACAAGCAGUGGGAGCACCUUCGGGUGUGACUGCGUACCUUUUGUAUAAUGGGUCAGCGACUUAUAUUCUGUAGCAAGGUUAACCGUAUAGGGGAGCCGCAGGGAAACCGAGUCUUAACUGGGCGUUAAGUUGCAGGGUAUAGACCCGAAACCCGGUGAUCUAGCCAUGGGCAGGUUGAAGGUUGGGUAACACUAACUGGAGGACCGAACCGACUAAUGUUGAAAAAUUAGCGGAUGACUUGUGGCUGGGGGUGAAAGGCCAAUCAAACCGGGAGAUAGCUGGUUCUCCCCGAAAGCUAUUUAGGUAGCGCCUCGUGAACUCAUCUUCGGGGGUAGAGCACUGUUUCGGCUAGGGGGUCAUCCCGACUUACCAACCCGAUGCAAACUACGAAUACCGAAGAAUGUUAUCACGGGAGACACACGGCGGGUGCUAACGUCCGUCGUGAAGAGGGAAACAACCCAGACCGCCAGCUAAGGUCCCAAAGUCAUGGUUAAGUGGGAAACGAUGUGGGAAGGCACAGACAGCCAGGAUGUUGGCUUAGAAGCAGCCAUCAUUUAAAGAAAGCGUAAUAGCUCACUGGUCGAGUCGGCCUGCGCGGAAGAUGUAACGGGGCUAAACCAUGCACCGAAGCUGCGGCAGCGACACUAUGUGUUGUUGGGUAGGGGAGCGUUCUGUAAGCCUGCGAAGGUGUGCUGUGAGGCAUGCUGGAGGUAUCAGAAGUGCGAAUGCUGACAUAAGUAACGAUAAAGCGGGUGAAAAGCCCGCUCGCCGGAAGACCAAGGGUUCCUGUCCAACGUUAAUCGGGGCAGGGUGAGUCGACCCCUAAGGCGAGGCCGAAAGGCGUAGUCGAUGGGAAACAGGUUAAUAUUCCUGUACUUGGUGUUACUGCGAAGGGGGGACGGAGAAGGCUAUGUUAGCCGGGCGACGGUUGUCCCGGUUUAAGCAUGUAGGCUGGUUAUCCAGGCAAAUCCGGAUAAUCAAGGCUGAGGUGUGAUGACGAGGCACUACGGUGCUGAAGUAACAAAUGCCCUGCUUCCAGGAAAAGCCUCUAAGCAUCAGGUAACAUUAAAUCGUACCCCAAACCGACACAGGUGGUCAGGUAGAGAAUACCAAGGCGCUUGAGAGAACUCGGGUGAAGGAACUAGGCAAAAUGGUGCCGUAACUUCGGGAGAAGGCACGCUGGUGUGUAGGUGAAGUCCCUGCGGAUGGAGCUGAGACCAGUCGAAGAUACCAGCUGGCUGCAACUGUUUAUUAAAAACACAGCACUGUGCAAACACGAAAGUGGACGUAUACGGUGUGACGCCUGCCCGGUGCCGGAAGGUUAAUUGAUGGGGUUAUCCGUAAGGAGAAGCUCUUGAUCGAAGCCCCGGUAAACGGCGGCCGUAACUAUAACGGUCCUAAGGUAGCGAAAUUCCUUGUCGGGUAAGUUCCGACCUGCACGAAUGGCGUAAUGAUGGCCAGGCUGUCUCCACCCGAGACUCAGUGAAAUUGAACUCGCUGUGAAGAUGCAGUGUACCCGCGGCAAGACGGAAAGACCCCGUGAACCUUUACUAUAGCUUGACACUGAACAUUGAGCCUUGAUGUGUAGGAUAGGUGGGAGGCUUUGAAGCGUGGACGCCAGUCUGCGUGGAGCCAACCUUGAAAUACCACCCUUUAAUGUUUGAUGUUCUAACGUUGGCCCCUUACCGGGGUUGCGGACAGUGUCUGGUGGGUAGUUUGACUGGGGCGGUCUCCUCCCAAAGCGUAACGGAGGAGCACGAAGGUUAGCUAAUCCUGGUCGGACAUCAGGAGGUUAGUGCAAUGGCAUAAGCUAGCUUGACUGCGAGCGUGACGGCGCGAGCAGGUGCGAAAGCAGGUCAUAGUGAUCCGGUGGUUCUGAAUGGAAGGGCCAUCGCUCAACGGAUAAAAGGUACUCCGGGGAUAACAGGCUGAUACCGCCCAAGAGUUCAUAUCGACGGCGGUGUUUGGCACCUCGAUGUCGGCUCAUCACAUCCUGGGGCUGAAGUAGGUCCCAAGGGUAUGGCUGUUCGCCAUUUAAAGUGGUACGCGAGCUGGGUUUAGAACGUCGUGAGACAGUUCGGUCCCUAUCUGCCGUGGGCGCUGGAGAAUUGAGGGGGGCUGCUCCUAGUACGAGAGGACCGGAGUGGACGCAUCACUGGUGUUCGGGUUGUCAUGCCAAUGGCACUGCCCGGUAGCUAAAUGCGGAAGAGAUAAGUGCUGAAAGCAUCUAAGCACGAAACUUGCCCCGAGAUGAGUUCUCCCUGAGACUUUAAGUCUCCUGAAGGAACGUUAAAGACGAUGACGUUGAUAGGCCGGGUGUGUAAGCGCAGCGAUGCGUUGAGCUAACCGGUACUAAUGAACCGUGAGGCUUAACCUU